rnacentral:rRNA from 1 species
GAUCUUGGUUCAGGACGAACGCUGGCGGCGUGCCUAACACAUGCAAGUCGAGCGGGGACAUGCGACGGAACCGGAAGUUUUCGGAUGGAAGGCGAAGAUGUAUGUUCUAGCGGCGGACGGGUGAGUAACGCGUGAGCAACCUGUCCUUCACAGGGGGAUAACACAGCGAAAGUUGUACUAAUACCGCAUAAGACCACACCGGGACAUCCCGGAGGGGUCAAAGGAGCAAUCCGGUGAAGGGUGGGCUCGCGUCCGAUUAGAUAGUUGGUGAGGUAACGGCCCACCAAGUCGACGAUCGGUAGCCGACCUGAGAGGGUGAUCGGCCACAUUGGGACUGAGACACGGCCCAAACUCCUACGGGAGGCAGCAGUGGGGAAUAUUGGGCAAUGGGGAAACCCUGACCCAGCAACGCCGCGUGAGGGAAGAAGGUUUUCGGAUCGUAAACCUCUGUCCUUGGUGAAGAGAUAGAGACGGUAGCCAAGGAGGAAGCCCCGGCUAACUACGUGCCAGCAGCCGC